rnacentral:tRNA from 1 species
GCCCGGAUGGCGGAAUUGGCAGACGCGCUACAUUCAGGGUGUAGUCUUCGUAAGGAGGUGCAGGUUCAAGUCCUGUUCCGGGCA